AUGGUUAAUACAAUUGUAGAGCGCAUUUCUAUGAGAAAUCGAGUUUUGACCAGAACAGAUCAGAUGCAAGAAGAUAUUGAAAUGAAAUUGAUGGCUACCAGAAUUCACAGGGCAUCCAUUACCAAGGGAUGGAGCUCAAGGACACGCCUGCACCGCUAGAGAAGUUUUUUGCAAUUGCGAAGGGAAAGUACUAAUGUUGAGGACAUGUUUCUUGCUCAUAUCUUUGGAAUGGACACUCUGGCCUGUGGCCUCCACAACGUUGUCAAGCUGAUUGAGAUGAUCUUUUCCGCAAAGCGGUACCAGAGUUUUGAUAGUGAGAUUGGUGCCUUGAUCGAGGAUGGGAAAGGAGACUUUGAGAUGCUAAAAAAGAAGGUUCUAGAGUGCAGUGCACUGUUCCAUCCGGCAAGCAGG